rnacentral:rRNA from 1 species
GAUGAACGCUGGCGGCGUGCCUAAUACAUGCAAGUCGAGCGAACGGACGAGAAGCUUGCUUCUCUGAUGUUAGCGGCGGACGGGUGAGUAACACGUGGAUAACCUACCUAUAAGACUGGGAUAACUUCGGGGAACCGGAGCUAAUACCGGAUAAUAUUUUGAACCGCAUGGUUCAAAAGUGAAAGACGGUCUUGCUGUCACUUAUAGAUGGAUCCGCGCUGCAUUAGCUAGUUGGUAAGGUAACGGCUUACCAAGGCAACGAUGCAUAGCCGACCUGAGAGGGUGAUCGGCCACACUGGAACUGAGACACGGUCCAGACUCCUACGGGAGGCAGCAGUAGGGAAUCUUCCGCAAUGGGCGAAAGCCUGACGGAGCAACGCCGCGUGAGUGAUGAAGGUCUUCGGAUCGUAAAACUCUGUUAUUAGGGAAGAACAUAUGUGUAAGUAACUGUGCACGUCUUGACGGUACCUAAUCAGAAAGCCACGGCUAACUACGUG